AUCAGCCACCUGACACUUUUGAAAAAACACAAAAGCAUACGCUUGGUUAGAGGAAUAACAUAUCGUUCGCAUUGACGAUGUCGCCGUGGAUUCUGGCAGCGGCCAAAAUUUUGUUUCUGGCUCUUUUCCCCUUUCGCGAACUUUUUUCUUUCGUAAACCUCCUCCGUCGUCAACGAGCCAUCCCGAUUUCCCAGCAUAUCUGCAUGUUGUCCGAGACCUUUUGGAUCUAAUCGUAUUUAAAUCGUAUUUAAUGGGAGAUGUACCAUGUUCUGUGUUGAUGUGCUUUGAGAUUCCCAUGGUGCAGUGUAGGAUUAUCUGAUAUUAGUAAUUAUCUCGAUAAACCAAGAUUGA
rnacentral:sRNA from 2 species